UUGGAAACAGCGGUUAGGAGCUUACACCCACCCGUGUUUACAUACUAUUGUUGCUUUGGCGGGCCGUGGCCUCCACUGCGGGCUCUGCUCGUGUGUGCCCGCCAGAGAACCAAACUCUGAAUGUUAGUGAUGUCUGAGUACUAUCUAAUAGUUAAAACUUUCAACAACGGAUCUCUUGGUUCUGGCAUCGAUGAAGAACGCAGCGAAAUGCGAUAAGUAAUGUGAAUUGCAGAAUUCAGUGAAUCAUCGAAUCUUUGAACGCACAUUGCGCCCUGUGGUAUUCCGCAGGGCAUGCCUGUUCGAGCGUCAUUUAACCACUCACGCCUAGCGUGGUAUUGGGGCACGCGGGUCUCCGCGGCCCUCAAAAUUAGUGGCGGCGCCGGUGGGCUCUAAGCGUAGUACAUACUCCCGCUAUAGAGUUCCCCCCGGUGGCUCGCCAGACCCCCCCAAUUUUUUACAGGUUGACCUCGGAUCAGGUAGGGAUACCCGCUGAACUUAAGCAUAUC
rnacentral:rRNA from 1 species